UACGGAGGGUGCGAGCGUUAUUCGGAAUUACUGGGCGUAAAGCGCGUGCAGGCGGGAGAGUGGGUCUGAUGUGAAAGCCCGGGGCUUAACCCCGGAAGAGCAUUGGAAACUGUUCUUCUUGAGUUUCGGAGAGGAAGGGGGAAUUCCCGGUGUAGAGGUGAAAUUCGUAGAGAUCGGGAGGAAUACCAGUGGCGAAGGCGCCCUUCUGGACGACAACUGACGCUGAGACGCGAAAGCGUGGGGAGCAAACAGG
rnacentral:rRNA from 1 species